GAUGAAGAACGUAGCGAAAUGCGAUAAGUAAGGUGAAUUGCAGAAUUCAGUGAAUCAUCGAGUCUUUGAACGCACAUUGCGCCCCCUGGUAUUCCGGGGGGCAUGCCUGUCCGAGCGUCAUUGCUGCCCUCAAGCACGGCUUGUGUGUUGGGCCGCCGUCCCCGGUUUCCCCCGGGGACGGGCCCGAAAGGCAGCGGCGGCACCGCGUCCGAUCCUCGAGCGUAUGGGGCUUUGUCACCCGCUCUGUAGGCCCGGCCGGCGCCAGCCGACACCCAACUUUAUUUCUAAGGUUGACCUCGGAUCAGGUAGGGAUACCCGCUGAACUUAAGCAUAUCAAUAAGCGGAGGA
rnacentral:misc_RNA from 1 species